rnacentral:rRNA from 1 species
UCCCAGACUCCUACGGGAGGCAGCAGUGGGGAAUAUUGCACAAUGGGGGGAACCCUGAUGCAGCGACGCCGCGUGAAGGAAGAAGUAUUUCGGUAUGUAAACUUCUAUCAGCAGGGAAGAAAAUGACGGUACCUGAGUAAGAAGCCCCGGCUAACUACGUGCCAGCAGCCGCGGUAAUACGUAGGGGGCAAGCGUUAUCCGGAAUUACUGGGUGUAAAGGGAGCGUAGACGGUGAAGUAAGUCUGGAGUGAAAGGCGGGGGCCCAACCCCCGGACUGCUCUGGAAACUAUUUGACUGGAGUGCAGGAGAGGUAAGCGGAAUUCCUAGUGUAGCGGUGAAAUGCGUAGAUAUUAGGAGGAACACCAGUGGCGAAGGCGGCUUACUGGACUGUAACUGACGUUGAGGCUCGAAAGCGUGGGGAGCAAACAGGAUUAGAUACCCUAGUA